rnacentral:rRNA from 1 species
CCGCGUGAGCGAUGAAGGCCUUCGGGUUGUAAAGCUCUGUGGGGAGGGAAGAAUAAGGCGAGCUAACACCUCGCUCGAUGACGGUACCUCCUUAGCAAGCACCGGCUAACUCUGUGACAGCAGCCGCGGUAAGACAGAGGGUGCAAACGUUGUUCGGAAUUACUGGGCGUAAAGCGCUUGUAGGCGGCUAUGUAAGUCGGGCGUGAAAUCCCACGGCUCAACCGUGGAAGUGCACCCGAAACUGCGUAGCUAGAGUCCUGGAGAGGAAGGUGGAAUGCUUGGUGUAGAGGUGAAAUUCGUAGAUAUCAAGCGGAACACCGGUGGCGAAGGCGGCCUUCUGGACAGUGACUGACGCUGAGACGCGAAAGCGUGGGGAGCAAACAGGAUUAGAUACCCUGGUAGUCCACGCCGUAAACGAUGAGUGCUAGGUGUCACGGGCUUUGACCCUCGUGGUGCCGAAGCUAACGCGUUAAGCACUCCGCCUGGGGAGUACGGCCGCAAGGCUA